UAGACUUUAGCAUUGGCCCUUCUCUUGAUCGAAAGUCCUCCUCUAUGUAACUCCGCUGACCUGAUCGCAGCUUCUCACCGUAGAAGAAACAGAGCCUGUUCAACUUACCCUCAUGAUAACUGGAGACGUUACAGAAUGAGGCUCAAUCGAAGGGUCGGCUUUAACGCAAUCAUUAACAGUAGCUUGGAAAACCUCUCAUGAGUUGUCGUUUGCAUUACUUCCUUUCGGUGAAUCUUCGACUAUAAAACGCCCGCCACUCAUGCCAUCGUCCGAGGUUCACCGUCUGGAAACCUUCAAACAUCUCUGAUGAAGGUAUGUUCUGUCCCGUUAAAAUCAUUAGUUAAAUCUUCUCACUAGCUUAUAAAAAGCUCAAAAAGUGUUCUUGAAAGAUUCGACAAUAAUCUUGACAACCUGGACAUCAUUGACCUGCUACAAUCCUUGGAUCCCUAGCUGAAGUUGUCUCCAAUGGAGUUGGGAGAUGAGACGGUUGUGAUGUUGAGACUGAGAAUAGCUGUAAAUGAAUUAGGAUUCAACCAAAUAUGAAAGCAGUUCUUAGAUUCAAGUCAAGUCUGAAGCUGAAACUUCUGUUAACCCAAAUCUUAAUGACAGAUCCGAUGAUGAAUAUGUGUCCAUGUAUGAAGCUGAUAGAGGUCUAAUUGUAGGUUUUCCAUUUUAUGAAGGCGACUCAAUUCAUGGACAAGAGGAAGUAUACAAAUAGACUCACACCAGAAAGAGCGAAGUGAAGCGAUCAAGAAUUUCAGGUGACCAUGGUUGGAAAAAAUAGUUAAUUAUCGUUUUCUCCAUGCUCUUUUUUUCAUGGAAGAAAAGGACUUGGAGAAGGUCAAAUUUGUGUCCUCUUCCACAACAAUCACUUCUACACCAUGAUGAACGCUUUUACUGAAUCACUUUGGUGUACCCCGAAAGUGAGGUAAUAACUGGACUUUUUCAAUGAGUGUUAUUAUCAUUAAGCCUUACGCACAGCUCAGACUCAUCGAAUAUGCUUCUCUGUCUUAUAAGUACUACACUUUGCUUUUGCUAUUUGGUGUCUCAAGGAAAGAAAUCUGCUCUCAGGUAUAUAUUUAAAUAUAUGGUUUCCGUUGCCAUUUAAAAUAGAAUUCAUAUUCUCAGUUUCUCUCACAAAUGAGUCAUUUGUGUUUGGUUCAACUUCAUUUGCUUAAACCACCGUUGAGUCAUGUGAACAUGAAUAUGCAUAAAGGAACAUGGGUAUGUAAUCUUUCCCAAUAUUGUUAUUUUAUUUGAGUGUCCUCCAUCAUUUUUCAAUGGCAAUGACAAUAUUAACGGGUUGGUGAAACUCUGUGUGUGAUAUAGCAAGAAUUUCAGAUUUGCACCAAAAGUCUAUAUUUCUGAAGUAAACUGACAUGAAAGAAAACCGAGUAAUGAACCAAUAUUUGGAAAAGGUUCAUCGCAAUUGGAACUCUAAAAUGUCUGAGAGACCCUAUAUAGUUCCAUCGUCAGGCUUCCCUUUUUUUUCAAGAAUUCAAAAAGUUUCCAUAUGGCGGAAGGGGUGUAACACUUAUGAAGUUAUUUGAGUACCCGAACUUAUAAUCAUGUGGUCAGUCGUCACCGUUUCAAGUUUCAACAGCGCGGUAAACCUACUUUGUGUCAGCUUACGUUCCAUUACAUGCCAGUUAAGUUCAAGCGAGUUACUCGUCAUUGACUGGGGAAAGCUGUAUCUUUCUUUGAGCAAGAGUGAGCUUGCGUUCCAUUCGUCUCUCAUGUUAGUUAUGGAGAUUCUGAAAUGGAGUGAGGAGAGAACAAACAUUUGCGUGAGUUAUACUCUGUGUACAGCACUGAUUCAAGUUCAUCUCAAAUCAAUUUAUUAACAUUAAAAAGAAGUCUAAUGUACAUAGUGACCACUAUCUGGAGUAGAGAUUCCUACACAUUGGUUUUAAUUGAUUGAGAUUCAGUUCA